rnacentral:Y_RNA from 1 species
GGCUGGUCCGAAGAUAGUGAGUUAUGUCAAUUGAUUGUUCGCAGUUAGUUACAGAUCUAACUCCUUGUUCUACUCUCCCCUCUUCUCACUGCUGCACUUGACUAGUCUUAA